GCCUAGCCCUAAACAUUGAUAGUUCACCACAUUUGCUAUCCGCCUGGGGACUACGAGCAGUAGCUUAAAACCCAAAGGACUUGGCGGUGCUUAAGAUCCACCUAGAGGAGCCUGUUCUAGAACCGAUAACCCCCGUUCAACCUCACCCUCUCUUGUUUUUCCCGCCUAUAUACCGCCGUCGUCAGCUUACCCUGUGAAGGAUUAAUAGUAAGCAAAAUUGGCACAGCCUAAAACGUCAGGUCGAGGUGUAGCGUAUGAGAGGGGAAGAAAUGGGCUACAUUUCCUAAAAUAGGAAACACGGAUAUUGCACUGAAAUGUGCAUUUGAAGGAGGAUUUAGCAGUAAGCAGAAAAUAGAGCGUCCUGCUGAAACUGGCCCUGAAGCGCGC
rnacentral:rRNA from 1 species